UGAUAAAACUAAUUGCCACAUUGCAGGCUUCAACAAACCCAUGCAGAGUAUGAGAAUUUAGAUGAUGAGAGCUAGCUGAAUUUCCUGCUGCUGUCAUAAUAUUACUGAUGUCUAAAUCAGCUAAGCAGAAGCUACAGGAGGGUGUUGGUUUAUGCCGGGCUGUAAUGCAGGCAAUCUCUUUGCACAAGUCAUCUUUUGCUGAGCAUCAGGAAGCUGGGUCUGUAGCUGGGUUGUUGUCUGUCUCUCUGCAAUAAGUUGGAGCUUCCUUUGGUGGAUUCUCUCAUUCAUGAGGACAGAUGCUGGUGAGAUAUUGACUUCAACAUGAUGUUACAGUGAUUCUUUGCAGUGACAGAUCAGAUGCAGUGGUUCAACCCAAGAUUAACACUGGCUCCACAGAGGCUUCUGGUUGGUAAUCUAUAUUUUGGCACUCAGAAGAGAGCAGCAGACUAAUCAGAAGAAGGACUUCCAGUGGUCAAUGAGAUUAGCAGUCAAAAUGCUGUGAUUCUGUGUGUGUGAUGAGGGGCAUAUCCUUUCAUUUCUCUGUAGCUUAGGUCUCUAUCACUAGGCAGCAAUUAACAUUCCCUUUGGUACUCUGAUAGAAGUGCUAUUCACUUUUCAGCUGACGUUUUAAGGGCACUCAUACCUUCGCUUUAGAUUCACGUGUGUGUCAAGGCAGCAUCAAGUUCUCACAUUCUCUCUUCACUUCUUGUAAGCUCCUCUACAGAGGAGAGCUUUUAGGGAAAGAAGUCACUCAACUUGUCUCUUUUUUGCCUUUAUCUACUGUCGUUUUCAACAAUGGAAACUUUCACAAGGAUUGCACCUACAAGGGAGCAAGAAGGAAAGAGGAUGCCUAUUAUGCCCAUUAUUGCCUAUUUCCAGGGGGAAAAACAUGAAGUGUACCUUUAAUAGAACUGAGUAUUGAUCCCUGGAAAAUGAACAACAAUUAUAAUAAAAUACAGACAACUACAAUCCCAGUGGUCACGUUGAAGGGGGAAAUGCUUCAUUCGCACCUCAUAAGAGCAUUCAGAACAUGAGUGGAGGGCAAAUUUCUUCCUCCGUCACUGGGCAAAAUAUCGAUGGAUGCAUCUCCAUUGCUGUUCUGGAACAAUGUGACCUGGAUUAGCUCAUGGAAUAGGAGAUCAGACCACAAUGAAGAGCACCCUGCUGCCUUAAGUAGGAGUUAAGAAAGUCAUAGUGGAGAAAGGACAGAAAAGUGUACAAGACCAAACGUACGUAGCUGUCAUUUCAAAUGUGCCUGUUUCAGGAACUCAAGGUCCUAUUUACAAUGGCGCUGAAGGACAAAGAGGAUCUCAAAGCAUUGCCUAAGGCUCUGCCAUUGUGGAAUGGUGUUCUGAUGCAUCCAAAAAUCCAUUUGGAACCUACCUGUAUUUUUAGCUGCCUUCCAUCCAGCACAGGAUUUUGGGGACUUUAAGACACAACCACACUGUGAUAACAGCUAGAUUCUUUAUGAUUCUGCUGUGCGGCAUGACAAACCCAAGUACACGCUGGCAUGUUUAACAAGGACAAGAUAAAGAGUGCCAGCACGAGUUAUGUUGGGAAGGAAUGAUGCAAGGUUCUGUUGCUGCGUUGCUUUCACACUUCCCAGCCUUUUGACCAAGCUGCACCACAGAAAUGUGAGAAACAUGUCAUUUGCUGGAGGGGUGAGGAAAUACUGCUAUUCUGAGCAAGAAAGAAUAAAGUCAGUCACUGAGCCAAUAUGUAGAUCACUGAAGAGUUUACAUAUUGUCAUCAAGUCUGGGUGCCAGGGCCUGAUGUCUUUGGUGGCACAUCAGCAACCUAAUUAGCAACUUGAAGUCAUCUCAGAAUUGAAACUAUUUGACACUCACUAAAAGGCUGAUACUUGACAUCUGGUUUGACAGGUUAUGAGGCAUCACAAAAAUGCUUUCACGAAUAAAGGACUUCAGUACAUCCACUACAGCCUACAAAAGACCCCGCUGUGAUCCUGGAGGUGAUGGGAUACCCAGGAAAAGCUGCAGCAAAGCAGAGUUUGGCCAUUCAUCCUCCAUGGACACUGAACAUGCUGCCACCUCAACCUUCAGGGCAGGAAACAACAUUUCUAAUUUCUUCACAAGCAUCAGUGGGCAUGAGAAAACAGAAGAGUACCAGUCCUGAUGUGACUCGGUUUCUCCAAGACUGAGGUAUAGUUUGGUAUCUGGUGCCAUUGAGACAGAGAAUAAUAUGCUGAGUAUUGAAGCACUUUACAACAGUUAUGAAAGAUGAGUCACUCUACUUAGCAGCUGUGACAGAGCAGUAAGGUCAUGCCAGUGUGCACCAGUUCACUUUACCAGAUAAUUUUUUUCCUUUGGGAAACUAAAGCAUUAAUGGUAAUCUUCUGCUUUUGGUGUAGAGAUGCUUUUACCACACUGCAGUAUAUGGAAAAGGCCACAUCUUCAAUGUCAUUGCUGCUUUUGUGCCCAGUGCUGUUCUGGAGAGCUUUGCUGUGGCAAAGACUUCAGAAUUUUGCCUCAAGUCAAUUGCUCUGCCAAGGGCUACCAACAAGAUGAGCAUGGAGGUCUGUUUAAUCCAGUAUCCUCACCUUCACCAUGGCCAAAAUCAGAAGGUGCAAAAACAUUUUCACUGUACUUGUGCGUCAACAAACUGUGAUCCUGGAAAAAUAACAAGAGACAUCUAUUAAAAGCUGGGGGCUUUCCAGUAAUGACUCCCGUAAACCUAUCACACCCAUUGAAACCAACUAGGCAUGCCAUUUAUUUGGUGUUUUGAUAAAUUAUAGCUCUGGGGUGCACCCAGGGCCAGAUUUUUAAAGCUGUUCAGCUGUUUAACUCUCAUUGAUUUCAGCAUAAUUGAUUUCAGUGGGAGUUAGGUGCCUGCACUGCUCCUCACUCUGGGCCAGUCCCUUCUAUGGUAACUGCACCAAUUAGGCAGGAGAGCAAUUUAUCCAGGGCCCCAUUAAAUAGAAUCAAUGGUGCCCAAUUACAUCUAAAUUAGCAGUUCAGCUACUCUGAUGGUUGAACAGGCUGCAUGGCUGCUGCCAUCCCACUGCCAUCACAAAUGACACAGGGAAUCUCUUCCAUUGUGUCCCAGUUACAGCAAGAGUCAUCCAGGAAUAACAUCCUGCUUCCUCACUCAACCCAUGAUGUUUUUCAUCCUCCCACCAGGUCAUUCUGACAUUGCAACAGACUAAUGGUGUAACGGCUACUAGGAAGGAAAGCAAGCUGAAUCCAAAUCUAAAUGAGUGGGGCUUACAUAAUUAGAGGGUGAGAGAAAGAGAAACUGGAAUCAGAGACAAAGUCUUUUCAAGGUUUCCAAGGCAGCAAGUGGCUGCUUCUCGUACAGCAUGCACCACAAUUGUGUUUUCAAUUCCACAGCAUCAGUUUUCUCUACAAUGAGGAGAAAAAACCCACUCUUUUGAAAUGCAAGUCAUUUGUAAUGUUAUGUGCAGAAGAUUCUGGUAUUGUGAUCUUCCACUUUUGCCCUGCAUUUAAUACUGAGGAUCAUUCAGCCAUGAUGGAACCAGCUGGAGGAAAUUCUCUCCUGCAAGACACGAAGGCCAAUGAUGGACAGUGCUCUCCUGAACCAUAACUCCCUGUGGUUAGUUCUUCCUGAGACCAAACUCCUGGUGCAUUUAAUGAGCUGUGUCACAAAGCAAGAAUGGCGCCAGGUCCAGAAACCUCUGAACAAGACUUCAGCCCAGCCAUUAAAUCCCAGAGUUAAAUUCUGAGUGCACUUCAUCCCUUCAAGCUGUGCCGUUCUGACUCCUCAGCACUCCUGGGGCCUUUGCGGGAUUUAAGAGCAUGGCACAAAAGGACACAUUUCCAGGGUGAAGAUUUAAUUUGAUUUUGGGCUGUGUGACUGCGGGUGGGCAGAAAAGCAAAUAAGAACUUCCUCCUGUCUCUACAUCAGUUCUGCUAAUCGGAGCUCUGCGUUUUUUACACCGCUCUGAUCAAAAUAGUCACUGAGUUCUUGAGAAGAAGCCAUGCAUCCCACAAGACCCUUGGUGCCCUCAGAUACUAACUGUGAAAAACAGAGUAUUUCUGUAGGACUGGAGCUCAGCGUACCAGCAUUAACUAAGUGGAGAGCAAAUGCUAUCAGCACAUAAGCAUGCUGUUAAAUCGUUGCACAGAAGAAUUCCAGUCUGGUUAAUCACAAUCUGAUUUUUUACUGCCCCUUCCAUGAAAGAAACAUGCCCAAAAGAUGAUUUUCAUCUUGUCAUAUCUAUUCUCAUCUAUAUUCCAGCCAAAGCUCGUUGAUCUUGGACUGUGUUACUAUGCACUGGGCUCAGGCAGUUUUUCAAGCAUUUGCAAAGAAUGUUUGUAAGCACCAACCCUCUUCCCCAGGGAUAACUGCUCCCUCAGCUUUGAUUUAAUACUGCCUGCAGUCAGGAGGCCACCCACAGACUUCCAGCUCUGUCUCACUUGCUUCAUUCCUACUUCAGCAUGAAGAGCAAGCAUGGGUGGAACAAGUAUGUAUGAAGACUGAUAGGAAGCCCAAGGUUGGCAUUUCCUUUCAGGACAUGUGCUGGGGAGGAAGCUGCUGAAGAGCCAUGGAGAAGUACCCCUCAUAUGCACAGCAAAUGCAGGUUUGAAUGCAAUGCAUUCCACCAGCACGCUCUUGGAGGAGCAACUUAGGUGGAGAUAAAUAAGACAUGUAAUUUCUUGUCAGACUGUUGCAUUUCCCACCGCUCGUUUUAACAAUUACACUCUGUGACUUUUUUAUUAAACAACUGAAAAGAUAGAUUAUUGUAGCCUGGGAAGAAAAAUUGCCUGGAGAGAUGAAACAUAUCCAGACUCUUUUUUUUUUUUUUCUUGCACUUUUCAAGGUGUUGCAAGGAAUGUGUUUUCAGUUCAGCACUCAGUAACCAGCGCUGUGGUUUUGGCACUUAUUACCAGGCUCACCUCUGCAACAGCCAACUUCUUAGAACCAAACCUGGGUGAAGCAGAAGGGCUGGUCUAAGCUGGGGCUUGGUUUGUUGCUGCAGGAAUCAUUAGAGUCCCACAUUUCUUUCAUGAGCAGCUUUCUUUAGGUCAUAUUUUUAAAGCAAUUAAUGAAAGAAGUGAUUGCCCUUGAGUGAGCAGUGCCCCAGUGUGAACUGUAAUCAAUGCUCCUCUUUGCACUGAUAUCUGUGCCAAUUAGAGGAUUUUUUCCUGUAGAAAGGUUACCCAAACAUCAUUUUAUUUCUUCUUACUAAUUAUUUUCCAUAGUUUUAAGAAGCGCCUGGACUUUCAGCUUCAGCACUGAAUUUGCUUUUGCAAAGAAAAGCCUGCCUGAAGGCUAACCUGGAAAAUACAUAUUCAAGAAGCGUACUGCUAAAUGCUUCAGCACUUCUCUUUGUUUUCAAGACCAGAAGGUUGUACAUAAAACACACUUCAGUAUUCACAGCUAAAGCUUCAAUGCUUUUCUAAACAGUGAUGUUUCUGAACUUGGGAUCUAUUGUAAACAGAUAAUCAGAUCAAUCUGAACUCCUGUGUGUCUGCUUGACUGGGGUAACUAUGAAACCAAGGAGACACAUAGAAGGGGAAAACUGAGCAGUCUUUGAAGACCAAACCAAGAAUGAUACAAUGGAGAGAGGUAAAGGCUGAGGAAAGAGUGGGGGGCAUAAGGGCCUUUGUUCCACACCAUGUGCAUGCUAGUCAUUAAAAAUGCAUCCAGCAAUAGGUGGAAUAUUGCUCUUCUGGGGGAUAGAAAUACAAUCCCCUUCAACCUGCUGUAGUGGUUUGUUGGAGGAAUUUUCCAAAGCAGAAGCAACCCGAAUCUUCCCCAGUCCAGCUGGGCAGAGCAGGACUCCUGGCAGGAACAUGCUGACAACCUCAAGGGCAGGUCUGCAGGAGGAAGCAGUGCAUGGAGCUGCCAUUGCUGCUGAGCAUCAAGGGGGGGAUUCUUUAAGGCAGCUUUAGGUUACGAACAUGAAAAUGGAGCACUCCAGACUCUCCGCCAUCUGAACGCAGCUGAUGGUGGAUGCUCAUUUCUAACGUUUCUCACCAGAGUGAGUACUGCUUUCGUUUCUCACACUAGACUAGUCACUUGGCCAGGCUGCACUCCAGCGUUUAAGGUGUUAGUCACACUGCCUUGUGGGGACUCACAGUCUGUAGUCUGGCUUAUGGUGACCUUUAUGACUGGCACAGUCUUCAUCGUGAUAGAAAAGACUGAUGUAGAGGCAUUUCACAUCAUUAUUUUUAGUGCGAGGCAAUGGAAUAGUUGGAGGAGAACUAAGGUGUGAGUAGAGUGGCAUUUAUUGUCCCCUGUGGAUGAAUGCAGUGAUUUGUUGUACGGUUUAUUUCUUUUUUUUUUAAAGGACAAGGACAAAAUAGUUGGCUGGGUAGGUAGCUGAGAGGUGGUAAGUGCUCUGCUUAAGGUGGAGUAGUCAGAAUAGAUGCAUCAAGGAUGAAAUUUCUCACACUAAGGGUUUUCCCAGCAUUCUCCUUUCUCAGAUCAGGGAUAAGCCACUGACAUCACAAAGCCUUCUACAAGUUUCAUGUUUGUUAAGCUCAAUAUGGAAGAUGCUCAAAUAGCAGCACACAGCUAUUAAAACCCAGCAGGAGAGCCCAGCCUGCAGGGAGUUUCCCACACACACAGUGCUGACCUAGGAGCUGGAAGAUCUCUGCUCCCAUGAGGACCACCAGUUGCACAAACUGCAUUUUUCAUGGAGACUGGUCUCACCAUGCAGCCUCCUCCCCUUGCCCUGUCAGAAAUAAGUGAAAGGGAUCAAUAUUUCUUCAUUCUGAUUUUGCCAUUUGCCAUCCUUUCUGGUAAUUUCUGACAUCUUUCCAUCUUCCAAACUGUCUCUCCUUUCUACAAACAUUGUCAGCCUUCCAAAACAUUUCCCAGAUAUUACACGAGCUGCAUCAACAGCCCCCAGCAGAGCGUGGCAUGCAGCAGUGCAAUGCUGUUAGCAGAUGGGUACCGCUCCUCACAGUGACCCCAAAUAGCAACACCUGUCUGCUCAGCAGAAACUGUGAUUUAUGGGGAGGUCUUCCCUUCUGCGAAGGGUUAACCUGCUACUCAGGCUGCCAGGCUGACCCUCAGUGAAAAUUAAUAGCUUGCAUCUGUUUAAUAUUCCUUUCCAGUACAUUGCCAAAUCAUUUCAUCUGUAUUUAAAUGGAUCAGUGCUUUUCAUCGUCAGUUGUUUCCUCAUUCCUCUUUGUUUUUUUGCUAAUCCUUUCCCAUUCACAGGUGUUUGUGAAAUCAUAAAAGAAAGUCGUUCAUUGUUUUUAUUUCAUAAGGCUCCUAUAAAUUUGGAGGUAAGGGAUGUGCGCCGUUUCAACAGCUCUGUGCUUUGCUCCAGUUAGAAGGGUGGUUCACAUCUGUAGAUUUUAUAGGUGACAUUAUUGACAUGGCAAUGUCAUCACUUGCAACUAAUCAAAAUGUGCCAGAUUAGACCCAGAUUUCCUAAAUGCUUGUAUUGGUAUUAUUUGUCAUGCAAGGCAUUAAUUUAAAGCUGAUGCAUCUGUUACAAUCAUUGAUGCUCUAGAUGGAAAAGAUCCAUAGGGAGGCUUUCAGCUUUCCAUUUAGUGCCAAAGCGGAACUGAACUCUAUCAGAUGUAUGAUUAUUGUCAUUAUUAUUUAAUACCCCUCUCUGCCUCUGCUGUGUGCUCAUCACUUAAUGGAAAACAUGAGUGCAGGCGCUGUCUCAGAUUGCUUGCCUUCCCAGUGACAGACCAGGCACCCAAGUGACAAUAAAACAAGCACCAUGAAGAAAAGGGCUGAGGAUCUCUUGGCAUGGCUGCCCAAGAGAGACAGACCAGUGCCUUGGUGGGCACGGUGGGAUUUUUGGUCUGGUUUGGCUUCUGAAGUGGAGAUGGCAUGAACAAAUGUGUUCAAAGAGGGUGUUUGCGCAUUAAGACUUUACUAGCAUCAAGACCGAGACACAAUAGGAAGACAGAGGUUUAAUGUAAUAUAAUGUGGAUGCUUAAUAACAGAGAUAAUUGACCAUCAAAGGGAUGUGCUUUUUCUGUUGCACUUUGCAGCAUUCAGUGUGCAGGUUAAAGAACUGCAGAGAGAUGAAUUUUCCAAGAAAACCUUACAUAUAUUAACCUUGGGCAAAGGCAGGGAAUAUUCUUUGUGCUUCCAGAUGACUCUUGGAUCUCCACAAUGGUCACAUUCAUCAUCUAGAUGAGCUGUCCUCGGGAGAGCACAUUUUGAAGUUGUUUAGAUCUUAAUGAGUCAUCUAUGAAUUACCAAAUAUUUCACGUUCUAUGUGGAGUGCCCUCGAUACAACCAUCAGCUGGGAUGGCUGAAAAUAUUGUAAAUAAUCUCCUCGGUUUAAUGAGCUAUCAUACAAGGAGAGGCUAGAUAGGAGUCACAGCUUCACUUCGUGAUAGAUCAGCCCAGGCAUUUGAUUUACUGUGGGGACUACUUCUACUAAAACUAAUCAGAGGCUAUCGAGGAAACCCAAACAGAUCCAACCUACCAGAAUUUAAUCUCCCCACAAAUAAAACGUACUCAUAAAUCAGGGCAAGCAUGUAAAUGUGCUCCUCUAAUGCUUCUAUUAGGGAAAACAGAACCACAAAAAGCUCAGUAGGAUGUGAAAACUAUUAUGGUUUCCCUGGGUGAUGUCAGCAGUAUUAGACUAAUUCAUAAUACACAAGGAGCUAUAAGAUCCUUCUGCCCUUACAGCUGGCUAAUUAGGCGAGAUGAGGAAAGCAAUCUGACAAAAACGUUGAUGUCUCGGAUUUCAUUCUGAAGCUUAAAAUGGACAUGUUUUUAUAUUAUUCAUUGAAUUUCUCAGAUAAACAGAGAGAAAAGAGAGAUAAAAGGUACGAAAGUCAUCAUCGUGGUUUUUCCUUACUGAAGGAAUUCUGACAGAAAAUCAAGUAAACAAAAUAUACUGCUUUUGGUUAAAAAAAAUGCAUACAAAGCUGAAUUUCACAGAAAUAAGCAAAUUUAUUGCGAGGAAAGCAUUUGUCACUAAAAACGACAGUGAGGAAAAUAUGCAAUAAAUACUUUGAUCAGAUCUGGUAAUGAGCUAUUCUGGCAAACUGCAGCAUUAGUUCAUUGACAGCCUGUUCAGCUUGAUCAGGAAAAAGCGUGUUGAGGUAACUGCAGGAGUGCAGUGAAAAUCACACUCUCGAAUGAUCAUUGUCACAUCACGUUGUCCAGGUGGUGAAUGAAUAUCCACAGAGAGGAGAGUGGAGACUCACUUUGUACUUGGGAGAGUGGUACCUCUAGAACUUCAAUCCUCAACAGGUCAGUCCAGCACUGCCGCAGUUUAUAUAAGAAAACAAGAUUGAAUGUUACCAGAGAUGUGUUUUUUUUUUUAAAGAGAAGAAGUGCAGCUUCACUGCUCUGAUUCAGAACUGUGAUUUUCCUGUGGUGCUAAGAGAGAAAAGAAUCAAGACCUUCUGCUUGUCAGAAGAUUAAUGAUGUACAUCCAUAUGGAGGAAGUUACACCAGAAAGUUUUGUAUAAAUAUACUGGUUGAUGAUGUUUUUUAUUGUCUAAAGAUGUUAUUCUGCAUUUUGCUUCAGUGUGAUGCAUAGAGACUAUUAAUAACAGCAAAUGAUUGCAUUUAAGACAAAAAUUGAAGGAAAUAAUUUAUAACAAAAUCUACAUGAAAGCCAUCUCUCAGUUUCCGCAUAUUGGCCAUAAAUCAUUCAGGAGACACUUAUGAUUGAUUUACAAGAAGAUUUUUGUAUUACCAUAGAUAUAUAAGCUGCCUGCUGAACAACUGUCCUUCAUCCAUAAUCAAACAUAUCCUCAGUAAUUGAUAGUUUUCAGAAAACAGACUUUGAAAGCCAGAAAGGAAGCUGAGAUAGAGCUGUGAUGGUUGACAGUGGAUGAUAUUUACAAGUUACAAUGCCAUUUAUUCACAAAUCUUCUGUGCAGACCAGAAGAAAUUAGUGGUUUGGGUUAAAGGACAACGUGGGAGUUGGCUCUCUCUCAAUGCAGACACACUGCUGAGUGCUCACCUGCAGGUCACUCUACCUGAACAACAAAUACACAUAUAACUAGGACUUUCAGGGUGUUUUCUGUAACCCAAUUAUUUUCUUUUUAAAAUAGCAAUAAAAAGUGGAGCAGGAAUAUAACUGAUAAUAACCUGUCAGACUUCUCCUCUCUCUUUUGCCUCUCUUCAUUUUACUCUAUUUUCUCCAUGCUUGAUAAAUGCUCUAGAGUAUAGAACCAGAUUCAGACUCUUUCCUGCUUUACUGAAGCACCACCAAUUGGCUUUGGCUUGCUUUAGUUAUUUGACCUUUCCUUGGUUGCUAUGUUCUAUAUUGGAGGUCAUUGCAAGAGCAAGUGAGUUCUCUUUAUAUUCCACUGGCUUAUACAAGUUCCAAUGAGGUCAGAAACCCCAGUCUCCUCUACAUUCCUCUAUCCUGCAUUUUUAUCAUUGUUUCAGAGUGAUGACACUCCUCCAUAGCAAAUGGGGUAAUGAUCCUUCAGAAGAGGAAGUUCCACUUGGGCACUAAAGACAAAAAAGAUGCAGGAAGAUUAAGAUGAUUUUUGGACACCUACAGCUCUAUAAGAAGUGUGCAGCCAGUCUGUCAUAGUGCCUUCAGUAAAGGCCUUCUUGCAUUUAAUAUGUUUAUAUCAGAUGGACGCUGCCUUAAAUGCCAUUUAGUACACUCAGACAUUAUUUAUUACAACAGGGUGUUGGAGGCAGUUUGGUUUCACAUGGUUUCACAGACCCAGGGAAAUAAAGGGAUUCUUCUGUCUCUAGCAGCUGAUUCAAUAAAGCACAGUGAGGGCUAAUCUACUCUCUAGAAUAAAAUAAGUGACAAAAAUUACCCAACUCCUUUCCCAGGGUUUCCACUUGCUUCCCUUAGGCUGUUUGUGAACCUUCUGAUGAUAAAAGGCUGUCAAGAUUGCUGCAAGCCAAUUACUACAAGCUCUUAUGGUAGAAUACGAGACAAAAGAAAAAAAAUGUAAUUUUGACAAAAGUACUCCUUAUAUUCUCGAGUUGGUGACACUUUUCAAAGCCACAUCAUUGCUUAUUAAUGUGAACCUGGAAAAUGACCAUUCAGCUCCAGUCAAAAAGAUGGCGACUGACCUUAUGGUACCUGAAUGCAUGGGUAUAGCUAAGGUGACAAAAGGGUGUUCUUUUACUUCAAGGGAGCUCAACUGAAAUUACAUAAGUAUAUAAGGUAACACCCAAGAAGACUGCUAGAUGCUGCUGUUGAACUGACCUGGCGUUAUGGAGAAGUUGCUUGGGUGAGAGAACUCAGUUGUGGCCAAAAAAGGAUGCAACGCAAAGGUUGGUCUGUGCAAGUUGCUUUCAUUUAGAGAAGCUGUCAUGCAACAUCAUGACAGGCACUGUCAAAGCAGUUCCUCCUUUUUCUAUCUGUACUGUUCCUAUUUUGUCUUUGUUAAUUGUUUCAUCUCACGGAUAAAAGAGGAUAUAUUAAAAAUUAUCUUCUGUUCUGUUCUAGCUUAAAACUGUCCCGUGCAGAUCCUUACUUGAGCAUGACAGAAUGUCCUGCACAGUGGUGUAUGGCAGGCCUUACAUCUGUGACUACAGUGUGUGUUGCAGACUCUAGUACUCCAGCUCAGAGCAAAAAUCACAUGAGUGUGUCAUUUCUACUGGCAAUAUCCAGGCUAAUCCAGCAAAGCCCUAGGACAGGAUGCUACCAGGUCAGAAAUGUUAAGAAAAUCUAUUCUGCAAGGAGAUUUGGCUGUAAUUUAAAACAAACUAACAAAAACAAAGCCAAAACAACUCAGAGUGCAGUGUUUUGAGACAGGUUCAUGCUGUACAUAACAUCCAGGGGGAAAAAAAAAUGACUGUGUUGAGUAAAGGAAGCAUGAAUGGCAAAUUGAAAGCAUCCACACAAAAGUGCAAAAUCCACAGAGGAUAUCAGCAAGGACAGUAAAUAAAAGGCUCGACAGGAAGCCAGUCUGUGCACACAUGGCUAGAUUUCAAGAUGCAUUGAGUAUCUCUAUAAAUAAUUUCUUUAUUAGGGAGCCAAUGUGAUUUACAAGUAUUGGAUCCUUCAAAUUAUUAUCCAGUAAGAAGUGUAGAAGGCACAACUGGUUAGUGUCUGCUUGGAACUCCAGUUGCUUUCAGAGUACUUACAGCCUGCAUGGUUCAAAGCACUUUAUUUGCACAGAAAGCGCUGGUGCUUUCUGCUAUUAAAGGAAGUUACUUAUGAGGUGGAAAGUGGUUGUUGUUUGACAGCAUCCAGCACACAGAAAGAACCACGUUGUGCCCAGUCAACAAAGCAAACAAACACUGAAAGAAAAAUAAGCAGCUAAAAUGAAAUGCUGGGGAUGAACUUGGGGCUGACACUCUAAGACCAAUGCUCAGAGCAGGGCAGAAGUAUCAUUGGUAGCUGUGAACUCCUAUAUUUCUUAAUUAUGUUAUUUAAUUGCCUAAAUAGAAAAAUAUUCUAGAAUUAGAGCUUCAAAAUCUCACCCUUGCAAAGUCGGACAAUUUUUUGUAUUAAGUGACACCUUCUAGUUUGGACAAUCACUUCCUUGAGAGAUGCUCACAAACAGUCACCAAGGUGGCAGUCUGUUGUCCAGUAUGUUCAUUCAGUUUCUGAUUCUGCGGAUUAACUUUCAGCAUCAGGCUGAUGUCAAUAUUUGCAGGUACUCCACAAUUACAGUAUGUCUGCUAAAUCACAUUGCUUUAAUCCAAAAGAUUUUACACUAGAAAAUUACAGAAUAGAAUUUCAAGACAUUUUGGCGGCCACCUUGCUGUUCUGCAUUUAUUUAUGUGUUCUUCCAUGCUCUUUGACCGCAUCUGACAUUAUUCCUCACUUCCUCUGCAUGCAAGACUUCCUUCAGGCAAAUGCAUGAAGUAGAACUGACCAGCAGUGCCAAUUUGAUGCUGGGGAGAUGCAAUUUAUGCUACAUGUAAUCCAUUUUGGCACUGCACGAACCUUAAACCCUGUUUAAGGCUGCAGCACUGCUUCGUGUUGGAGUUUUUUAAUGUAAACCACAGGGCUGAUACGUCUGUGAGACCACCAUCUUCUCCUCCAUUACUGUGAACAGGAGAAGAAAAAACACCCAAUGAACUAAAGCAAAGGAAUGCUUUAGGAUGGUAACAGAUCAAGAAAACUCCAGCUGCUAAGGUUACCCAAAGGUGAAAGUUGACAGAAGCCCACGAGGACUCAGCAUGGAGACAUCCAGCAAACAAGAUGUAAUAAGACUGUCUCAGGGGAGCCGACAUGAUUAAGAUUGUGGUGUCCGACCUUAUCUCUGACAGCACGUUGCCUCCCAGCUACAAAUGUUCAAGUGUUUAUAAACAUCUGACAGAGUAACUGCAAGAAAUGUAAUGCAGCUCAUCACGGGGGGAAAAGAUGGUCGUGGAAAUAGCUGAGAAUUGUGUUGGCAGAACUAUUGAGCCCUAAGGAAAAGGGGCUAUUUUAGUUACAAAGUCCUUUCUAUGCUAAUGAUAAUCCACAUACAUCAACAUUCUGCACAUUCGCUGGGUCAAUUUAGACCAGAAAAACUGUUUGGGUAUGACAAUAAUUAACUAUUAAAUCCAAAUAGUUCACUCAUCCAUUCCUGAAGCGCUCUAUUGAAAUCUCUCAGGAAUGUGCUAUGUUAAAAGUCUGCAGGAGACGAGCUCAGGUCUGCUGAGCUCACCUGGCUGGAGACACAAGACCUUCAUCCUUUCUUCCAGCAAAGCAACACAGGAGGAGAUUGUUCUGAAGGAAAUUAGUGCAAGUGUAUAAAAUAAAGAAGAGAAAAAAACAAACCAAGCAUUCUGUCUCCUCUGGACAGCAAUUUAAGUGCUAAUUGUAUUCUGCUGCAAUAAACUAACCAGCCAGAUGUUUCAGAUAAUUAGUAUUAAAGUUAGAUUUUUAUAGCAGCUGUUUUCUUUCUGCCAGACAAGCAAUGUAUCUGCUUCCUGGGCAAAGUCUUCCAACAGGAUGUCUAAGACGUGACUGUGAUGUGUGAUAGCACUUGUUAAACCAUCCAGCUUGAGUCAUGGUAAGCGUGGUAGCACAUGCAGCAGCUCACUUGGGUUUCCAGGUAUGCACUCGGUGGGUUAUGUGUGUCUUCCCACAGCUUUGCUGCCUUUAGAACUCAGGCUGGCUCUGUCUCCAAAAGCUGAUUGGCAAGACCAGCAAACUCCAAACCUUUCUUUUUGCAGGGAACUGCACAAAUUCUGUUGACAUAAUUCUAAGUCCUCAAGUGUUCUAAGAUACACUGUUCCUCUUAAACCUAUUGGGCUAUCUGUCCUGUUUAUAACAUACCGUAGGGUCAAUCUGGAGCAAAGCGCAUCUUAUAGAAUCAUAGAAUCUAACUACAGGAAUAGAAUUAGUGUCCAGAUCUCUCUAUCUAGGGAACUUCCCAGACUUUGAUGUGACUCAGGUGUGCCUGAGAAGUUGCAGCAAGGCAAAGUUCAGCAUGGGAGGGAGAUGUUGGCAGCUGAUGAGCAAAGGGCAACAGCUGAUUGUGCCAGGUCUCUCGUGUGCCCGUCAAGCACUGGUUUGCAGUUCUGGGCUUGGGUAAAGGUUCACCAUUAAUUGUCAGCCUUAUGGUUAUUGGGAGUGCCCCUAUAAAAGAAGAGCAAAAUGGAAAUCUCUGGACAGUGACCAUGUUUUGGAAGGAGACACUCAAAAGUUCCUUUAUAAUGUCAGUGCUUUUGAUUUCCCAGAGUGAUUGGUGAUGAGUAACUUCUGCUGGGAGGAACUAGGAUGCUCCUGACUUCC